ensembl:lncRNA
AGCAGGUCGGCUGGUUAAGGGCAAGGUUGACUGGUUAAGGGCUAGUCGACUGCUUGAGGGCUAGUCAACUGGUUACGGGCAGGUCAACUGGUUAUGGGUCAGGUCGGCUGGUUAAGGGCAGGUCGACUGGGUAAGGGCCAGGUCAGCUUGUUAAGAGCAGGUCGACUGGAUAAGGGCAGGUCGACUGGUUAAGGGCAGGCCGACUGGGUUAAGGCAAGGUCGACUGGUUAAGGGCAGGUCGACUGGUUAUGGGUCAGGUCGACUGGUUAAGGGCAGGUCGACUGGUUAAGGGCCAGGUCAGCUGG